UCUGUGUGCCUCUGGCUGUCUCUUAACUAAUUCCACCUGCUUCUGCCUUUGGAGUGUUGGGAUGAAAGGCAUUCACCAUCAGAAUCUGGCUUCUAAGUAUAUUUCUGAAGCAUCAUUGAUACCAUAUUAUAUUCAACAUUGGUGUACAAACACUACUUAUGGUAUGAAAAUGGUGAGAGCUUCCGUGCCCUGGGAAGUCAGUGGAAGAAGUGUAGCUCUACCACACUCAUAAUAUUUUCUGCUUUCACGCUCUGGAAUGCUCCUGAACAACUGCAGUAGUCAAGUGCUUUCCCACACCGUUGGCCUCCACAAGGCUGCUCUCCAGGGGAUUUUUUUUUCUUACAUAUAUAUUUAUAUGACCAGAAUUGCUGAAGAAUUUACUACAUUCCUGACAUUCAUGGGGUUUCGCUCCAGUGUGGGUUCUUUUAUGCCUUUUAAAAGAACCGAGAAAGCAGAAAGAUUUCCCAAAAUCCUUAAGUAUAUAUGGUUCCUCUCCGGCAUUUCUUUUAUGUACUUGAUAGAACUAUAAAAUUAAAUGGCUUACCAUAUUGUUUGCAUUCAUAGGAUUUCUCUUCCAUGUGAUUACAUCAUUUCAGAUAGGUUUGAAAUUUUCCAAAAUGUAAAAAUAAGGAAAUGAUGGUACAGCAUGACUGUGAAUCCAAUUUAGAAGCUAUACAAGGUCAGUCAACUCAUAUUUUCCUUAAAGUGAACAAAAGCAGAUGCACUGGUUAUCUAGAUGUUUUAACAAACUUCUUCCUCCAAUAUAACUCUGGAAUUUCUAGAGGGUAGAAAUUUAGUUACUUCUUUGUUUUCACGUAUUCCUUUAUUAUAAGUCAAUGCAAAAUAUGAGUAUGUUGGUCCAUAUAUAUAUAUAUAUACAUAUAUAUAUACAUACAUACAUACACAUCAUCAUCACUUGAAUGGCUAAGACAGGAAGAUUGCAAGCUAGGAUCCCCAAUAAUGAGAUUCUAUCUUAAAACAUAAUGAAAACAAACACUAAUAUAGUGUUUAAUGUGGUCAUAUUAAUUUCAAUGUGGUCAUAUUAAGAUAUAGUGAUAUCUGCCUCCUCAGUCGCAAUUUCUGGCUGACUAUUCUUGGUGUACAAGCAAGCUUUCAAUGGCAUGAUAAUAAAAGCUUAACCCUUCAGUUUACUGGAUUUUUCUAAUGAUUUUCUUUUGUAAUAAGUUUUUCAGUCUUCUUGAAUUUCUAAGGCAUGCAUUAUUAGUAUCUGUAGCAAUGAAAAUAUCUCUAUGUCUUUUCAGUAUUUACACUUUCUGUUUCAUAUAUGCAUCUUCUUGAAAUGACAGUUGAUUAUAAAUCACUGAAAAGCUUAUGACGACAACAACCAUUUCCUUAUCCUUUGCUUUACUACUGACUUGUUUUGAGAGAUCAUUACUUUUAAAAGAACAUCUAAUAUUUUAAGGAUGAAACUUACUAUAUUAACUUGAAUAAUUCUUUUAAGGAUCUGUUAAAAAUAUGAAGGAUUUGUGUUUGUUCAUAAUAAAGGGUCUUGUAUAACCAGGUUGUCCUCAGAUUUCCUAUGUAGUCAAAUCUGACCUGGGAAUUCGGUUCUUCUCCUUCGACUUCCUCAAGGCAUGUGCUACCCUGCUGAGUUAUAUAUUGCUAGUGAUCAAGCCCAGAUUCUCACACAUGUUAAUCUAAUGCUCUGCAGACUAGACUGAACUACAUGCCCAGCACAAAUGCUUGCUUAUUUAAUGAAAAAGAAUAAUGAUUUGUUGCUGUUGCUAUUGUUGCUGUAUGUAGUUGGGAAAGACAAACGACAUAGUCUUCCUAUGGCACCCCUAGUUGUCUCUGAAUUCACUGUUCCUUCAACAUCCCCAACACUGGGUUUGCAAACUUGUGAUAACAUGUGUAGCAGACUGCUGAAUUUGUUUAAAUGACAUUUCAAAAUAUCAUUGAAACUUAUCUGCAAGCAGAAUGAAUGAAAUCAUGAGAAUUAUAAUCAGUAACUCACUGUAGUGGCACAUUCCCUUAAACUGGCAACUCUAAUUCUCAAUAGUCUAGACUGUUAUUUUAAAAAUCAGGCUGCAGUACACAGAGAGACACCAUUAACAAAACCUACAUAUAGACUAGCAUCAUAAUGAAAACACACAGAUUCCAACCAGUCAGUUAAGGAAUAAAGUAGUAUUUUUGAAGCUCAUUUUAACAUAUUUGUAUGACCCAUCUAGUACUUUAUUCUUUUGCUUUGUUGUUGAUUAGAGAUCUAUUCAUGCUAUUAAAAUAAAUCUUUUAAAAAGCUGAUAUUAUAAAAAUGAAAUAAAAAAUGUGAAAUUUUAUUCAGAUUGCAGUGAGUAUGAUUCAUCCUUUAGCUUGGCUUUUAAAGAUUAUUCUGAUACUUUUUGCUAUCAAACAAUGGAUAAAUGUUAAAUCUCUGUAAUACCAUGAUUAUUUUUAAUAAGAGAUUUGUGGUAGUUAAGAUAAUAAUUAAUGACUAUAAAUAAGUUUAGUGACUAAGUACUUGUAAAUAGGUUUAAUAAAUGUGGAAACCAAUUUCAGUAAUUAAGUUUUGGAACUCACUGUAUAAUAAGUAAUUACAGAGUAUCUGUAACAAAUAUUAAGAGUUUCAUAUAUAUAUAUAUGCAUACACAUACAUACAUAUAUAUAUGUAUAUAUAUGUUCCCUUUCUCUUGGAACAUUCACAAUAAUUCUUUGGACUACAGAAAAACCACAGUUGGAUCUGGAGAGAUGGUUUUGUGGUUGAAUGAAUACUGCUCUUACACAAGACCCAAGUUUGGUUCCCAGCACCUAAAUCUAUUGGCUCUCAACCACUUGUGAUUCUAGUUCCAGAGGAACUCUUCUGAUCUCAAAAGGCUCCUCCUGUGUACACAUAUACACACAGAUACACAUGCACAUAGUUAUAGAAAUAAAUCUUUUUCAAAAACACAUUAUGAUUUAAUUUUGUUUUCUGUUAAAUUUGUUGGGACCUACGUUUCUAUAUAAUAUGUUUAAUUGAUAUUUAAUAAUGCUUUUCUUAAAGUUAAACAGUAAAAUUGUAAGGAUAUAAUAUGGAUAAUUAAACCAAUAAAGGAAAUGAAAAUAUCAA